rnacentral:lncRNA from 1 species
AUGUUUCUCUAUCAAUGUACCGUAUUCGGCCGCCGCCGCCGCUCACCCCGGUGCGGUGGGCCGGUUCCUCCUCCUCCUCCUCCUCCUAUCCGGCGCUCCGUCCCGCAGGUCCAGGCCGAGGAUCGGGCCUCCGUCCGUGGCGUCUCCGUGCGCGCUCCACCGCGUGUCCCCGGACUCCGUCCCCGAGCUCGGCUCCCUCCGGCCCCGAUGUGUUUUAAAACCCAGCGUUCAAGAGGAAGGAAUGAAACGGGCUCCUGCAAGUGGGUUUUAAAAGGCCCAGCGGUGCGCUCUGGGUCGCCCUCCACCCUUGGCCCUUGGCCCUUGGCCCUUAGCCGGUGCUGGACGCCACACGGCUCUGCUCGGCCCACAAUGCGCUCCGACGGAGAGGUCAGCUGGGAGUCCCUACCACGAUGGCGACACACACACGCUGGGAGUGGAGUCGGCUGUAAACGGCAAACGGGAAUAAUGUUGACAACCUGCUCGUUAAUGUAUGAAACGAGCCCGUGGUGUAUUUCUGCAUUCUGCUUCAUGGCUUUUGAUUUAAGAGUGUCUUGCGUGGGCAUUAUUUUGAAUUUCCAACCUAGGGCUGUGAUUAAUGAGCCGACCGGUUCGCCAAAUUAUUGUUAGUACAUCUUGGCUUUCGCUGUGACAUAAGUGGAACUGGUUUAUGAGCUACACGUGUGUUCGGGGCCCAUCGGUGAAUAAGGCUAGGCCAGGGACAGACCUUUUUUACCUGCCUGUUGAAAUUCUGUCAAACUUAUUCAGCUGCUCAGAUUCCGAUUGCAAAAGCAGCUGCCAUUGAUUUUCUUUUAAUGAACGUGUCAUCGUGAGUUCAUUGGACCGCUUUACUUUUACCGUUCUUUAUUCAUUGGCUAGGUGAUUUACCAGUUUUCACAGUAAGGUAAAUUUUACAGCAUCAGAGUAGUCUGAGUGCCUUGAUAAAAGGUACUACGGAGGAAGGUGGGAUUACAGGUCUAACCACUGCACCACCCGAUAUUUUUAUGUUGAAAUUCUGCCAAAAUUCUCAUGCUGGUAACGUGUCAUUUGCAAAGGCAUAAGUCAGCAAACGGUUUGUGUUUUCUUCCUGCACUUUCCAUCAUUCCAUAAGUGGAAGUUAAUCAUACUGAAACAUUUCUAGGGAAGAAAGUAUUCAUUGGAAUUCAUACAGUACAGAUAUUCAGUUCAAUACAAUACACACACACACGUA